UGGACCAGUACUGUGCCGUGCAAGCGAGUGAAGCUUCAUCUGCAUGUGUGCAUGAGAUCUAGGUAGCAUGCGAAACCACCCUCCUCAGACUGUGGAAAAAUCCUUCCACAGAACCAGUCCCUGGUGCCCAAAAAAUUGGGAGCCACUGAUUUAAAGACUGGAAUACCUCUUGGCCCAGAUUCGAGGGCACGUGAACAAAAGGCAUAACGUUUCCUGGAUGCCAAAGAGCAGAGAAGAUUCCCUGAAAUAUUUGCUGUUUUCCAUAAUGUGCUCCAUUGCAACGUUAGGAUGCAAUCUUACAGAAUUAUCCUUCUUCAGGCUUGAGAAGUCACACUGGAUCUGAAUUGUAGAGGGCAAUUAAGAAAUGACAAAAUUAGAUCCGGUAAAGGCAGACUUUAUAGAACAUUAGAAUAACUUGCUAAAUAUUGAGAGAAGUUGGAGCCCUCCGUUGCAGAGGCCACCUUGCCAAAUGACUUCUUACCAUCAGUGGACUUAUCAGAGGCUCUCCCCUUUUACAGCUAUCCCUUUGGCAGGGGAAACAGGUACCUGGAAAAAAGCAAGCCCAGAGUUUGGAAUUUAAAAAAACGAUAAAUUACAAAUAGAAUGAG